CUUGGCCCACAGCCUGCGAUCCCACCCGUGCCGCGCCUGCUCUCCAGAGAAGUGACGUCCGUCCGCUUUAAGGGAGGCGAGCCUCGUGUCUCCUUCCUCGAGGCUUUCCCGCAGAGUUGCGGUGUCUCUCCGAGCUGGAGUUGCCGGUCUCUCCUUCUCGGGUGGUCCGGUCGCCCGAACGGCUUCCGUCUCCGUUCUCCCCGAGUCGGGUAAGUCAAGGCAGCUUUUG
rnacentral:lncRNA from 1 species